rnacentral:lncRNA from 1 species
UCCAUAGCUCCCAGUCAGAUUUUGAACAUGGCUUGGAUCAAGUCGGUAAAAAACUGGUAAGACCAUCUGUUGUUUGGUCUCCAUGCACUCAAGAAUCUUGGAGAGUUCCCUCAAACAGAAAGUAGAAUCUGCAUAAUUUUCAGAGAAAAUGACUAGCGAAAUAAACGACUCCUCAAUCCUUUCCAAGAGGGCAGGCUCGAUCUUUUCUCCUCCAUCAAGUUUAUUAUCGAUGUAAGCAUCAAUUUGGUUUCGCUGCAAAGCAUCAUAAAGAUGACUGGUGAAACUAUUGCGGGUGUCUGUGCCUCUAAAACUGAGGAACACAUCAAGCUUCAAAUAUGGAGUAGUGGGAGAAGAAGUGGAAGCCAUAUUUUUAUAUGCUUGAUAUAUGUAGAAGUAAGCUUUCUACUUGUGAUAAUUUUUCCCUGUAACAAGCAAUAAGAAAACAAACGAUAUAAUUAGUCAAAGACUAGCUAGUUGAGAUCUUAAUUACACCUGAUAAAUAAAGAGAGAAGCUAGUUGGGAGAUUAUUUUAUAUCUCAUAAAUAAAGGCUAAAUAUGAUCAAACAAGAGUGUAUUAGAAUGAUCAGACAAUAAGAGAAGAUCAAAACAACUUAAACGAUGCUAUAGCAAAGAACGAACAGGAAGAAAUUCUACCAGUUAUUUAAGGGCUAGCCAACUCACAAUUAAGGGGGGGAGUUCACAUUGAUCCUCUCAUCAUCUUUAUUUCAAACACAGUAUUGGAGGGUUUCUUGGAAUCUAUAUAUCGGUAGGUACAAAUUCAGAAACAGUCCUUGACAACUCAAUAUCUCAUAAACCUUUCUUCAAAAAAGAUUUUCACAACCCAUUAAGUAAGCCACAAUUAGCCACGGAAAUUCCGGAAUCAUUUAAAGUUUGAUUUUUAAAGUGUUUAUUUAAAAAUAUAUUAAUAUAAUAUUUUUUUUAUUUUUUAAAAUUAUUUUGACAUAAUUCAAAAACACUAAACAAAUCUAAAUUUUAACAACACUAAACAAAUCCAAAUUUUAACAAAAAUUAACAAAAAUCAACCUCAAUUCCAAAAGAUUAGUCACCUAUCGUCUUUUCCUUUUUCUUUACUUAGCGGUGAGGAAAAGUUGAUAGUAGCAACUUUUCCUCACUAUCAACUUUUCCUCACCGCCAAGUAGCAAUCAUUUUUACAGGACGCUUGACUUGCUGUGUGCCCUUUUGAUUUUUGAACACAACCAAGCAGUAAUUUUCUGGUGGUGAUCUUCCGGAAUCUUUUUCCAAACAACCCUUUUUAGACCAUGAUUGAAGUUUCGACUGAAGAAUUUACUACUUUUCUCUUCACAUAUGAUUCACAGUUUUUAAUCCAGACUCGGUGUUCGAUCUGGAGCAAGGCCUGUGUGCCACCAAGGUUUAGUUUUUCACUGAAAAACUUGUUGAGAUGAUAGCUUCUAUUCUUUGCUCUUUCCUUUGUUAAAAUCAGUUUAUGGAACUGAUGCUUUGCAGGUGGCAGAGAGAGCAUUGUUCUUGUGGAACAGUGAUCCCAUUGAGAACUUGAUCACUCAAAAUCAGUUUUUAUUUCUUUUCUUUCACCUUUUCCAUUUUUCCUAAGCAGCAAGAAAGAGACCAAUUCCAAGUUAAAAUAGAUUUAAUGCUGCCACCUAACUGUUUAGAGGGAGAGAGAGGGAGAAGAACACAUUAUAAAAACAAAACCAUCAAACAUUUUUUUGGAAAACUUGCAAUAACUACUAAAAGUUUUGAUCAUACUAUUGCUAGAUCACAUUCCAUAGAGGACGGCAGGAUUACAGUUUGCAUGCAACUAUCUGUGUAUUCACCCAAUUCUGAAUUAAAAAAAGUAACAGUAAUAAAAAAUAAAGCAUUGAAUCAUGCAUGAUUGGACAAAUAUUUAAUUUAUAGUUGAUAGGUGGAUGGAUAAUCUGAGGUUUUGUUGAAGAAAUUUAGAAAGCAGAUUGAAAAUGUGAUCAAGGCUGAAUAAAUUAAAGAUUUGAGGACCAACAUGGACAAGGUUGUAAAGUUUAGCGGUCCAAUUUUGAUAGAUGCUUCAUUAAGAAGAAAGCUGAAGAUGGGGGCAAAUGGCUAAAAUCAAAGAAUCCAAGGACCUAAUUGUAUUUUGGAUGGGCUUAAUCAGGUGCUAAAAUGAAAGAGUAAUAAGGUUGGAAGUUAAUUUGGCUAAAAGUGGAAGAAUUAAUAAGUCUUAGGGACUUGUUUGAACAUUGGAUUAGUUUAAUUAAUACAAUGAGGGACUUAAUUAGAGUAAAAUAAAAGUUUGAGAGUCAAUUCGGUUAAUUGUGUUAAUCAAUUUACUUCUCAACUCGCCUUGUGCUGAUUAUAGAGAAAUAUCAAUUUUUUUUUAACCCCAUAAAUGUUUCCAGGUGGAGCUCUAAAUUCCUCAACUUCAGUUUCUAGACGAUGAAGCCGCAAAAGCAUAACAUAAAUAUUAUUUUUGUUAAAGCAAGCAAGGAAGAGGAAUAAACGAUGUAAACCUUGAUAGCUAUGCCUCAAACAUCUUAUAUGUGCAAGUGCAGGCUGAUUAUCUGAUAACAUCUCACCAAACUCAUUCAACAUUUAUCUGAUUAUCUGAUUAUCAGCAGCAUGAUACCGAAGCUGUAUACGUCUCCUCUAACUGAUACUUCAUUACUCUGUCCAUAUUCUGUUUACAAGCAACAAAGCACUGUUAGCAAAAUGAAAAAAAGAAAAUAAUCAUUUUGGUCAAAUGAUCUUAAUGCAGUGCAAGGUGAAUGAAACAUGCGAUCUUUCAUGCCGAAGAAUUUAGAGACUUGCUAGUCUUGAGCAACCACUAAGAUCAAGGUUUUCAAGAGAUUUCAACGCGCCAAUGUUGUCCGGUAGAUUUGCUAGUCCUGAGCAACCAUUAAGAUCAAGUAUUUUAGGGAUUUCAAUGCGCCAAUGUUGUCUGGUAGACUUGCUAGUCCUGAGCGACCACUAAGAUUAAGCGAUUUGAGAGAUUUCAACUCGUCAAUGCUGUCUGGUAGACUUGUUAGUCUUGAUAAAAGCGAUUUGAGAGAUUUCAACCCGCCAAUGCUGUUUGGUAGAUUUAUUAGUCCCGAGCAACCAUCAAGAUAAAGCCAUUGAAGAGAUUUCAACGCGCCAAUAUUGUCCGGUAGACUUGUUAGUCCAUAGCAACCAUUAAGAUAAAGCAUAGUAAAAGAUCUCAACCCGCCAAUGCUGUCCUGUAGACUUGCUAGUCCUGAGCAAGAAGAAAGACUAAGCUUUGCAAGAGAUCUUAACUCACCAAUGCUGUCCGGUAAACUUGCUAGUUUUGAGCAAGAAGAAAGACUAAGCUUUUCAAGAGAUCUCAACUCGUCAAUGCUGUCCAAUAGACUUGCUAGUUUUGAGCAAGAAGAAAUACCAAGCUCUGCAAGAGAUCUCAACUCUUCAAUGCUGUCCGGUAGACUUGCUAGUUUUGGAUAACGACCAAGAUUAAGCUUAGCAAGACAUUUCAACUUGCAAAUGCUAUUUGGAAGACUUGCUAGUUUUGAGCAAGAAUAAAGAUUAAGCUCUACAAGAGAUUUCAACUCAUCAAUGUUGUUGGUAGGCUAGCAAGACUUUCACAUGAAGAUAAGUUUAAUCUAACAAGUUGAGAGAGGUACCCAAUUGAUGAUGGAAAAGUACAGAAACUCUCGAAUCUGGGAAGCUCUAGUGGCUGUAAAUAAAAAAAAUUAAUGUAAGAAAAGAUAAAUGUUAUGAAUAAUUUCAAAAUUGUCCUAUAUUUGAAAAAGAAGGGUGAUAAAGCAUAUAUACCUUGCCUUCAUUCCAAAUUGUUCAAGCUGGCUACAAGGCAUUUCAAGUUGAAAAGGUUUCUCAGGGAAAAAUUUUGAUGGCAAGGAUUUCAAAGGGUAAUUAUACCAGUAGAGAAACCUUAGCUCACUUGAAAGAAAGUGAAGACCUCCUGGAAGGUGGAUUCCGACCCUCUUUCCAUUCAUAAUUUGCUCCUUCGAGGGAUUCUCUAAGAAAGAUGGGUAGUAGAUUUUGAGCAAUCUUAAAUUAUACAUCCCUUCAAAUGUUUCUUAAUGUCCAAAGAAACAUGCUAUAUCAAGAAAUAUUUUCUUUUUUUUCUGAUUUAAUUCAUGAUAACACAUUUCCAAAUGUUUCUUAAUGUCCUCGCUACCAUUUGUUCUUAGCUGUGCCACCUUACUUUCCCAGUAUUCAACACUCCUUUCAUUUGUAUAUCCUUCUAUGGGACGAUCUUUUUUAAAAGCAUGUAAGCUGAAGAGUCGAAGUGCAUCGUCUUCAUCUAAAAUUUUAACCUCGUAAAUUUUGUCUUCAUCACAUGCAUUUAUAAUUAAGCGCUUGCCUAUCUCUACUUGUCACCAUGAUUCUACUUCCUUGGCCAAACAAACCAUCCUCUCCUAGUAAAUAUUUUAAAUCUUGUGGAUCAUUGACAUCAUCAAGAACUAUGAGAACUUUUUUUCUUUGAAGCAUUCGCUUAAUGGCCGGGGGUAACACUUUUGUGCGUAUAGUCAUAUCUUUCUUCUCUAAUACUUCACCAAGAAUUUUCUGUCUUACAUGAUCUAUUCCAUGCUUCUGUGAUUCUUCCCUAACAUUUUGGAAAAAGCUUUGGCCUUCAAAUUUACUACAGUUUCGAUGAUACACAGCUUCAGCCGUUGUUGAUCCAAGGGAUAGUAAUGAUUCGAUGUCUUCAACGCGUGAUGCCAUUCCAACAAGGCGUUUUGAAUCAAAUGAGAAUGACAGCUCAUGGUUCAAUUUCUUUUGAAUGUCGGAAACGAUUUCUUUUGAAAUUUUAUCAUAACAUCAAACACAAUAUUGAUUCUCGAACAAAAUGGUUUAAAUAAGUUGGGGUUUAAUAUGCUGUAACUAAAUUAAUAACUUACUUAAUGACGUCUGAAUCCCAGCCCUUGAGAUUAGCUAUUUCUUUCAAAGCACGUCUCCAACUCUCUACUUCUUCAGAACUGCAAUCUCUUUCAUGCUUGCAAAGUGCAUCUCCAUAGCUCCCAGUCAGAUUUUGAACAUGGCUUGGAUCAAGUCGGUAAAAUACUGGUAAGACCAUCUGUUGUUUGGUCUCCAUGCACUCAAGAAUCUUGGAGAGUUCCCUCAAACAGAAGGUAGAAUCUGCAUAAUUUUCAGAGAAAAUGACUAGCGAAAUAAACGACUCUUCAAUCCUUUCCAAGAGGGCAGGCUCGAUC